AGCAGAGACAGGUGGUGCAUGGUGUCGUCAGCUCGUGUCGUGAGAUGUUGGGUUAAGUCCCGCAACGAGCGCAACCCUUACGGUUUGUUACUACGCAAGAGGACUCAAGCCGGACUGCCGUUGACAAAACGGAGGAAGGUGGGGACGACGUCAAAUCAUCAUGCCCUUUAUGUCUUGGGCUUCACACGUACUACAAUGGCAAUGAACAGAGCGAGGCAAAGCCGCGAGGCGGAGCGAAACGCUAAAAAUUGUCCCAGUUCAGAUUGCAGGCUGCAACCCGCCUGCAUGAAGUUGGAAUUGCUAGUAAUCGCGGAUCAGCAUGCCGCGGUGAAUACGUUCCCGGGCCUUGUACACACCGCCCGUCAAACCAUGAAAGUCGGUAACACCCGAAGUCAGUAGUCUAACCGCAAGGAGGGCGCUGCCGAAGGUGGGAUCGGUGAUGGGGUAAGUCGUAACAAGGUAACCUA
rnacentral:rRNA from 1 species